rnacentral:rRNA from 1 species
CACGUAGGGACCGAGCGUUGUCCGGAUUUAUUGGGCGUAAAGAGCUCGUAGGCGGUUCAGCAAGUCGGGUGUGAAAACUCUGGGCUCAACCCAGAGACGCCACCCGAUACUGCUGUGACUAGAGUCCGGUAGGGGAGUGGGGAAUUCCUGGUGUAGCGGUGAAAUGCGCAGAUAUCAGGAGGAACACCGGUGGCGAAGGCGCCACUCUGGGCCGGCACUGACGCUGAGGAGCGAAAGCGUGGGGAGCAAACGGG